GACAGAAAAGGCAAAUAAAUUAGUUUCUAUGGCUCUACUGGACGGAACUUGUACCAAUCCUCCCAUCAAUACCUUGUGUGCUUCUUCUCCAGUCAAAUUCACCUAUUACGGUUAAGAAUAUUUUUGUAUUUUUUUUUUUUACCUACAUAUUGCACCUUCGCAUUAUUAAAGCAGGUGUUUAGCAAUUUACGGA